AUUGAACGCUGGCGGCAUACCUUACACAUGCAAGUCGAACGGCAGCACGGGAGCAAUCCUGGUGGCGAGUGGCGAACGGGUGAGUAAUGUAUCGGAACGUGCCCAGUCGUGGGGGAUAACGUAGCGAAAGCUACGCUAAUACCGCAUACGAUCUAUGGAUGAAAGCGGGGGACCGUAAGGCCCCGCGCGAUUGGAGCGGCCGAUAUCAGAUUAGGUAGUUGGUGGGGUAAAGGACUACCAAGCCGACGAUCUGUAGCUGGUCCGAGAGGACGACCAGCCACACUGGGACUGGGACACGGCCCAGACUCCUACGGGAGGCAGCAGUGGGGAAUUUUGGACAAUGGGCGCAAGCCUGAUCCAGCAAUGCCGCGUGCAGGAUGAAGGCCUUCGGGUUGUAAACUGCUUUUGUACGGAACGAAAAGCCCUGGGUUAAUACCCUGGGGUCAUGACGGUACCGUAAGAAUAAGCACCGGCUAACUACGUGCCAGCAGCCGCCGCAGUAA
rnacentral:rRNA from 1 species